rnacentral:tRNA from 1 species
GUGUCCGUAGCUCAGCUGGAUAGAGCACCGGCCUUCUAAGCCGGGUGUCGGGGGUUCGAGUCCCUUCGGGCAUA